UGGGGAAUAUUGGGCAAUGGGCGCAAGCCUGACCCAGCCAUGCCGCGUGAGUGAUGAAGGCUUUCGGGUCGUAAAGCUCUGUGGGGAGGGAAGAAACCGCCUGGGUGAACAAUCCAGGACGCUGACGGUACCUCCUUAGCAAGCACCGGCUAACUCCGUGCCAGCAGCCGCGGUAAUACGGAGGGUGCAAACGUUGCUCGGAAUCAUUGGGCGUAAAGCGCACGUAGGCGGUUCGUUAAGUCGGGUGUGAAAGCCCCGGGCUCAACCCGGGAAGUGCAUUCGAAACUGGCGAGCUAGAGUAUGGAAGAGGGUCGCGGAAUUCCCGGUGUAGAGGUGAAAUUCGUAGAUAUCGGGAGGAACACCAGUGGCGAAGGCGGCGACCUGGGCCAAUACUGACGCUGAGGUGCGAAAGCGUGGGGAGCAAACAGGAUUAGAUACCCCGGUAGUCC
rnacentral:rRNA from 1 species